AGCUUCCCUGCCAGCCUGCCGCCUCCCUUCGCGCUCUUCUUCUUCUUCAGCCCACCGCCGCGACACGGAUCGCUCGCCCCCGCUUCUCAACAAAAGUGAUCCCUUGCCACCUGGCCCUGGAGUGCCAGUGAAAUAUGAGGCCAGGCCUGUGCCUAGCUGGCAAGCUGGGUAGAUAGAAUGACCAGGCAACUGCUUCAGAACACAACUUAUUGUGGAGAACAUGUGGGAGGAGCCAGCUAUGAGAUGCCAACUGCCAUUGUGAGAGCUCUAUCUUCCUUUGUAGCGGUGAGUCUCAGUGAUAAGUUUACACAAAAGAGGUGGUAGGUAGGACAGCGCUAAAUUUAUCAGUGCGCUCUCAACUAUUUAUUCCCCAUCCAUUGAUCAAGUUCAGGUUAAUGACAUAAGACUGUCAUGGGGCACAAUUGUUUGGCGCUACAAAACAAGGCUGCCUGCUCUUUCGCCUUUGCUAUUUACAACAGCCAUCAGCAUUUUGGCCAAUAAAUCAGUCGACCCUGGCACUGUAGGUUUAACAUUAGAAAGAAGAGAUAAAGGAGGUAGGUAGGUGUAGAU